ACAUAGAUGACGUGAUCCGACGUGCUAACGGGACUGAGUACGGUCUGGCGAGCGGCGUGUUCACUCGUGACGUGUCGCGCGCGCUGGCGGCCGCGGAGCGCGUCGACGCCGGCACUGUCUUCAUCAAUACAUACAACAAGACAGACGUCGCUGCGCCCUUCGGUGGCUUCAAGCAAUCCGGCUUCGGCAAGGAUCUAGGUCAAGAAGCUCUCAACGAGUACCUAAAGACGAAAUGCAUCACCAUUGAAUAUUAAAUUAAGAACAUUUUGUUUUUAUAUUGAAUUAUGUUAUUUUUUACAUGUUGUAUAUAUUAUGUAUAAAAUAUUUGGUUAUGAAUCAAUGAUGUUUUGUAUGACUGAAAAAUCUUUAGUAACUUUUUCCACUUGCAACACUGUCGCUUGACUAGACGCUCUGUGGAAAUAGAUACUAGAUUUAUUGCAUAAUAAAUAUAUUUUUUAUUACAA